rnacentral:pre_miRNA from 1 species
AGUAAGAUCGCUGGGUCAUAUGGUAGAUGUGUGUUUAACUUUAUAAGAAAUUACCAAACUAUUUUCCAAAGUGGCUGUGCCAUUUUGCAUUUCUACCAGCAAU